GAGGACUAGAUUGUUAGGUGUUAUUGGAUUGGGUUAGGAUUGGAAAAAUCUUAUGAAUCCAAGUAUUUUUUCCAAAACCUCCCAUUCCGAUGAUUUCUAACUGGCUAGCCCUCUC
rnacentral:pre_miRNA from 1 species